ACCAUUCUUCGGUCAAGGGUAUACGAGUAGCUGCGCUCCCCUGCUAGAACCUCCAAACAAGCUCUCAAGAACACUGGCAGUUGUAACCAAUGACGCCACGC
rnacentral:sRNA from 1 species